CCUACGGGAGGCUGCAGUAGGGAAUCUUUCACAAUGGGCGAAAGCCUGAUGGAGCAACGCCGCGUGCAGGAUGAAGGCCUUCGGGUUGUAAACUGCUUUUAUAAGCGUGGAAUAUGAUGGUAACUUUUGAAUAAGGAUCGGCUAACUACGUGCCAGCAGCCGCGGUCAUACGUAGGAUCCGAGCAUUAUCCGGAGUGACUGGGUGUAAAGAGUUGCGUAGGUGGCAUAAUAAGUAGCUAGUGAAAUCUGGUGGCGCAACCAUUCAGACUAUUGGCUAAACUGUUAAGCUCGAGAGCGUUAGGGGUAACUGGAAUUUCUAGUGUAGGAGUGAAAUCCGUAGAUAUUAGAAGGAACACCGAUAGCGUAGGCAGGUUACUGGGACGGUUCUGACACUAAGGCACGAAAGCGUAGGGAGCAAACGGGAUUAGAUACCCGUGUAGUC
rnacentral:rRNA from 1 species